rnacentral:rRNA from 1 species
AUUGAACGCUGGCGGCAUGCUUUACACAUGCAAGUCGAACGGUAACAGGCCGCAAGGUGCUGACGAGUGGCGAACGGGUGAGUAAUGCAUCGGAACGUGCCCAGUCGUGGGGGAUAACUACUCGAAAGAGUAGCUAAUACCGCAUACGAUCUAUGGAUGAAAGCGGGGGACCGUAAGGCCUCGCGCGAUUGGAGCGGCCGAUGUCAGAUUAGGUAGUUGGUGGGGUAAAGGCUCACCAAGCCAACGAUCUGUAGCUGGUCUGAGAGGACGACCAGCCACACUGGGAAUGAGACACGGCCCAGACUCCUACGGGAGGCAGCAGUGGGGAAUUUUGGACAAUGGGCGCAAGCCUGAUCCAGCAAUGCCGCGUGCAGGAAGAAGGCCUUCGGGUUGUAAACUGCUUUUGUACAGAACGAAACGGCUCUGGUUAAUACCCGGGGCUAAUGACGGUACCGUAAGAAUAAGCACCGGCUAACUACGUG